rnacentral:rRNA from 1 species
AUUCUGGCUCAGGAUGAACGCUGGCGGCGUGCUUAACACAUGCAAGUCGAACGGGAUCCAGGCAGCUUGCUGCCUGGUGAGAGUGGCGAACGGGUGAGUAAUGCGUGACCGACCUGCCCCAUACACCGGAAUAGCUCCUGGAAACGGGUGGUAAUGCCGGAUGCUCCGACUCCUCGCAUGGGGUGUCGGGAAAGAUUUCAUCGGUAUGGGAUGGGGUCGCGUCCUAUCAGGUAGUCGGCGGGGUAACGGCCCACCGAGCCUACGACGGGUAGCCGGCCUGAGAGGGCGACCGGCCACAUUGGGACUGAGAUACGGCCCAGACUCCUACGGGAGGCAGCAGUGGGGAAUAUUGCACAAUGGGCGCAAGCCUGAUGCAGCGACGCCGCGUGCGGGAUGACGGCCUUCGGGUUGUAAACCGCUUUUGAUCGGGAGCAAGCCUUCGGGUGAGUGUACCUUUCGAAUAAGCACCGGCUAACUACGUGCCAGCAGCCGCGGUAAUACGUAGGGUGCAAGCGUUAUCCGGAAUUAUUGGGCGUAAAGGGCUCGUAGGCGGUUCGUCGCGUCCGGUGUGAAAGUCCAUCGCUUAACGGUGGAUCUGCGCCGGGUACGGGCGGGCUGGAGUGCGGUAGGGGAGACUGGAAUUCCCGGUGUAACGGUGGAAUGUGUAGAUAUCGGGAAGAACACCAAUGGCGAAGGCAGGUCUCUGGGCCGUUACUGACGCUGAGGAGCGAAAGCGUGGGGAGCGAACAGGAUUAGAUACCCUGGUAGUCCACGCCGUAAACGGUGGAUGCUGGAUGUGGGGCCCGUUCCACGGGUUCCGUGUCGGAGCUAACGCGUUAAGCAUCCCGCCUGGGGAGUACGGCCGCAAGGCUAAAACUCAAAGAAAUUGACGGGGGCCCGCACAAGCGGCGGAGCAUGCGGAUUAAUUCGAUGCAACGCGAAGAACCUUACCUGGGCUUGACAUGUUCCCGACAGCCCCAGAGAUGGGGCCUCCCUUCGGGGCGGGUUCACAGGUGGUGCAUGGUCGUCGUCAGCUCGUGUCGUGAGAUGUUGGGUUAAGUCCCGCAACGAGCGCAACCCUCGCCCUGUGUUGCCAGCACGUCAUGGUGGGAACUCACGGGGGACCGCCGGGGUCAACUCGGAGGAAGGUGGGGAUGACGUCAGAUCAUCAUGCCCCUUACGUCCAGGGCUUCACGCAUGCUACAAUGGCCGGUACAACGGGAUGCGACACGGCGACGUGGAGCGGAUCCCUGAAAACCGGUCUCAGUUCGGAUUGGAGUCUGCAACCCGACUCCAUGAAGGCGGAGUCGCUAGUAAUCGCGGAUCAGCAACGCCGCGGUGAAUGCGUUCCCGGGCCUUGUACACACCGCCCGUCAAGUCAUGAAAGUGGGUAGCACCCGAAGCCGGUGGCCUAACCCUUUGUGGAUGGAGCCGUCUAAGGUGAGACUCGUGAUUGGGACUAAGUCGUAACAAGGUAGCCGUACCGGAAGGUGCGGCUG